GUUGUGUGUGUGUGAGAGAAAGAGGGGUAACCUGGAGGUGUUUUGCAUCAGUACUUGAAUGUAAACUGAAGAGGAGCCAGCCAAAUAAGGCUUAGGAAAAAUGAAAUAUUUAAAGAAGUACGGAAGGGAGGGAGUGAAAAAGGAAAGACAGAAGAAAGGAAGGGAGCAAGAAGCCAGAUGUGGAAGGAGAAAAAAAAGAGAAGGAAUACAGAAAAAGAGGAAGUUGGAUUGUCUAUGUUCUGAAAGUAUGUCUGUUGUGUCAAUGGAGCGGCUACAAGGUACAAAGCAGUAUGUAUCUGGGACUUCCACAACAGAUACAAAGCAGCAAAAGUGGUUAUUUCGGCCAUAUUGAUGACAGAAAGAAACGUUGUUGGUGCCUACAGCUCUUCACUGGCGAAACCUCACAGGACUCCCUUGGUUUGUUUAAUUCAAUAAAUCGUCAUGUUCAACCUUCUCCUGCCUGCCUGCCUCUCCCUGCAUUUGGGUCCAUUAUCCCCUGCUCCUCACAACAUCAUCGACUGCAAGACCCAGGCGGACCAUGCUGGGAAACACCUGCCUCUCAGCUGAUCUAACAGCUGAUUGGUUC